UACGGAGGGUGCAAGCGUUAUCCGGAUUCACUGGGUUUAAAGGGUGCGUAGGCGGGUAUUUAAGUCAGUGGUGAAAUCCUAGAGCUUAACUCUAGAACUGCCAUUGAUACUAUUUAUCUUGAAUAUUGUGGAGGUAAGCGGAAUAUGUCAUGUAGCGGUGAGAUGCUUAGAUAUGACAUAGAACACCUAUUGCGAAGGCAGCUUACUACGCAUAUAUUGACGCUGAGGCACGAAAGCGUGGGGAUCAAACAGGACUAGAUACCCUGGUAGUCCACGCCCUAAACGAUGGAUACUCGACAUACGCGAUACACUGUGUGUGUCUGAGCGAAAGCAUUAAGUAUCCCACCUGGGAAGUACGACCGCAAGGUUGAAACUCAAAGG
rnacentral:rRNA from 1 species